rnacentral:lncRNA from 1 species
GGGGGUUUUGGUACUUAGAUGAAAAUAGAUAGACUUAGGGUUUUUAUUCAAGAAAUCAGGAUUAUAAUCCUACAGAUGUCUAACAAGUUGUAUGCAUGAUAUUAUAGAGCUCAACACUUAUAAACAAACCGAUACAUCGGUGAUGUGGUGACCAUUGCAAUUGGACCUUGAUCUAAUUCGUGAAACCAUGUGGGGUAAUCUGGAUCGUCAUAAUCAACCUGCAAACCUCUUUCAAUUUCCCACCGAAUUGUCCAAUCUGGCUAAAGAUGUCUGGAACACCAUCAACUGCAUAUGUUGGCGUGGCACCACCAUCAUUAUAUCUUCUUGGAGCUCUUUUCCAGGUACGUACUUUUGGUGCAAAGUAAUACGAUGUGAAGUGAGAUGGUUUUUUCCGUCAAACUUCCAGCAAUUAUAGAACCUUUAACUUUGGCAAGGUUUUUUGCUUUUCCCUUCAAAUAUUUCAUGGCCCGCUCACAUCCAUCCGUAAUGUACAGGUCCAUGAAGCAAUGCCUCAUACGGGAGGUAGACAGAUAGAUGCUCCAUGACGUCAAAAAUGUCGGAGGACAUAUCUUCUCCAAGUUGCACAAUAAGAUGGGAAUGUUCUCAUGAAGUUGUUCUACGACAU